CGGCAGUGCCCAGUGGCGGACGGGUGGGUAACGCGUGGGUAACCUGCCCUGUACAGGGGGACAACAGCCGGAAACGGCUGCUAAUACCGCAUAAGCCCGCGGCGCCGCAUGGCGCUGCGGGGAAAACUCCGGUGGUACAGGAUGGGCCCGCGUCUGAUUAGCUAGUUGGUGGGGUAAUGGCCUACCAAGGCAACGAUCAGUAGCCGGCCUGAGAGGGUGAACGGCCACAUUGGGACUGAGACACGGCCCAAACUCCUACGGAAGGCAGCAG
rnacentral:rRNA from 1 species